CAGCCGCCGCGGGAAUACGAAGGGUGCAAGCGUUAAUCGGAAUUACUGGGCGUAAAGCGUGCGUAGGCGGUGAGUUAAGUCUGCUGUGAAAUCCCCGGGCUCAACCUGGGAAUGGCAGUGGAUACUGGGUCACUAGAGUGUGGUAGAGGAUAGUGGAAUUUCCGGUGUAGCAGUGAAAUGCGUAGAGAUCGGAAGGAACAUCUGUGGCGAAGGCGACUAUCUGGGCCAACACUGACACUGAGGCACGAAAGCGUGGGGAGCAAACAGGAUUAGAUACCCCAGUAGUCCCUGUCUCUUAUAC
rnacentral:rRNA from 1 species